GACGAACGCUGGCGGUGUGCUUAACACAUGCAAGUCGAACGGUAAGGCCCUUUCGGGGGUCCACGAGUGGCGAACGGGUGAGUAACACGUGAGUAACCUGCCCUCAUCUCUGGGAUAACAGUCGGAAACGGUUGCUAAUACUGGAUAUGAGCCUGCAAGGCAUCUUGUGGGUUGGAAAGAUUUUUUGGUUGGGGGUGGACUCGCGGCCUAUCAGCUUGUUGGUGAGGUAGUGGCUCACCAAGGCUUCGACGGGUAGCCGGCCUGAGAGGGCGACCGGCCACAUUGGGACUGAGAUACGGCCCAAACUCCUACGGGAGGCAGCAGUGGGGAAUAUUGCACAAUGGACGGAAGUCUGAUGCAGCAACGCCGCGUGCGGGAUGACGGCCUUCGGGUUGUAAACCGCUUUCAAUUGUGACGAAGCUUUUUGUGACGGUAGCAGUAGAAGAAGCACCGGCUAACUACGUG
rnacentral:rRNA from 1 species